rnacentral:rRNA from 1 species
GACGUAGGGCGCGAGCGUUGUCCGGAUUUAUUGGGCGUAAAGAGCUCGUAGGCGGCUUGUCGCGUCGUUCGUGAAAACCUAAGGCUCAACCUUGGGCUUGCAGUGGGUACGGGCAGACUAGAGUGCGGUAGGGGUGACUGGAAUUCCUGGUGUAGCGGUGGAAUGCGCAGAUAUCAGGAGGAACACCGAUGGCGAAGGCAGGUCACUGGGCCGCAACUGACGCUGGAGGAGCGAAAGCCAUGGGGAGCGAACAGG